GGGGAAUAUUGGACAAUGGGCGCAAGCCUGAUCCAGCCAUGCCGCGUGAGUGAAGAAGGUCUUAGGAUUGUAAAGCUCUUUCACCGAUGAAGAUAAUGACUGUAGUCGGAGAAGAAGCCCCGGCUAACUUCGUGCCAGCAGCCGCGGUAAUACGAAGGGGGCUAGCGUUGUUCGGAAUUACUGGGCGUAAAGCGCACGUAGGCGGAUAUUUAAGUCAGGGGUGAAAUCCCGCAGCUCAACUGCGGAACUGCCUUUGAUACUGGGUAUCUUGAGUAUGGAAGAGGUAAGUGGAAUUGCGAGUGUAGAGGUGAAAUUCGUAGAUAUUCGCAGGAACACCAGUGGCGAAGGCGGCUUACUGGUCCAUUACUGACGCUGAGGUGCGAAAGCGUGGGGAGCAAAC
rnacentral:rRNA from 1 species